UAGGGAAUCUUCCACAAUGGACGCAAGUCUGAUGGAGCAACGCCGCGUGAGUGAAGAAGGUUUUCGGAUCGUAAAGCUCUGUUGUUGGUGAAGAAGGAUAGAGGCAGUAACUGGUCUUUAUUUGACGGUAAUCAACCAGAAAGUCACGGCUAACUACGUGCCAGCAGCCGCGGUAAUACGUAGGUGGCAAGCGUUGUCCGGAUUUAUUGGGCGUAAAGCGAGCGCAGGCGGAAUGAUAAGUCUGAUGUGAAAGCCCACGGCUCAACCGUGGAACUGCAGCGGAAACUGUCAUUCUUGAGUGCAGGAGAGGAGAGUGGAAUUCCAUGUGUAGCGGUGGAAUGCGUAGAUAUAUGGAAGAAAACCAGUGGCGAAGGCGGCUCUCUGGUCUGCAACUGAAGCUGAGGCUCGAAAGCAUGGGUAGCGAACAGG
rnacentral:rRNA from 1 species